AAUGUAGGAGGUUAAAAUAGCCAAAUUAUAAAAGUAAGGUUUUUUUUUCUUAAACUGAUACUGCAUUUAUCAUUCAGGAGUUGCAGAAAACAUAUAUUGUAUAACAAUAUAUUUUGCAAUUUGUUUCUCAGCAGCCACCUUGUAUAUUGCAAAAGGGGGGACAUUUCCAAGCAAACAUCCAUAUAUAUUUUUCAUUUCAAAAUUUUCUUGAUUAAAUUUUUCCAAAUUCCAAAUAAUAAGUACGUUGAUAAAUAAUGAAGGUACAAGUAGCAUAGAAAGAUAUUGUCACUGCUCUCUCUGUUAUUAUUUUCAUAAUAUAUUUUUCUUUUUAAAAUUUAAAAAACUAGAACAAUGUAGAAUGUUUACAUUCUUGAUAAAAAAUAAGCUAAGUGUAUUCAUUAAAUAUAUCAAUUUGAUUUAUGUGAUCUUCCAUUAAUGCAAUAUUGAAAUAUUUGAGUGUGUUCUGAAACACUCAACCUAGAUAAGUGUGCUAGGAAAGCAGCUAGCGGAGACCCAACACAGAUUUCAUGUAAUAAAUUGAAAAUAUUAAUUCAAAAUGAAAAUGAAUCUCUUAACAUCUUACAGAUUUGGAUAUAUUUCAGCAGCACUCCUCAGGGAAAGUUUGCAGCAUGAGCAACCUGAGACUGCUGAAACUAUAGAAAGCAGUGACUUAACAGGUCCAGCUGCCAUCAACACUUCAGGCACAAAGAAUUUUGGAACCUGAGGAUAAUCCAGAAGACAAGAAAUUAGAGCUCUCUGCUUUCAUCAAUUCGAAUGACUUGGUCUCAGAUUUAGCCAAGGAUCUACAGUAUUAAGGACAUUGCUGGAAUAGAAAAGUUAUAGUUGCCAUAUCAGUAUUAAUUUGUAUCUUUGGAAAGAAAAAAGUCUAUCUAACAAAGUAAGGAUAUUCAAAAAACCUUUGGGAAGGACUUGCUAAUGCAACAAUGUUACAAAUAAGUCUCAAAGAAAAUGCUGCCUAAUUCUAGUUAUGUGGCAGAAUAAGAAAUCUGAAUUAGCAUUUAGAAAGUAUGAUUGAAUGAUUUCAAAGGUUGUAAUAUCCUGAUAAAUUUAUAGCAGCCUUUCUUACAUUAUUA